ACAGCCAUAUCACAUUGAAACACAAAUUCCCAUAUGAUCACUGAAGUUAAGCAAUGUCAAGCCUGGUCAGUAAUUAGAUGGGUGACCACUUGGAAAUACCAGGUGCUGUAA